UAAGAAAAAACAUUUUUCCUGAAGUAAAAUUUUUCAUUUUCCCCCCUUUUUCCCUUAUUCUCCCGCGUGGAAUUACAUUUGGCAUGCAACUUUCAAUAGCGGGAAGGAUCAUACUUCAUUCAAUGACUCCUUUAGAUAUCUGCAACAGUCGAUGGAGAAUCAAUGGGAGAGGAAGGUUUGUGAAGGAAGGGGCAGUCACGCUGCAAGACUCGAGAAGGUACCAAUUUUGCCACAUACUCUCAUCAUUGAAUGACUCCUUUAGAUAUAUGCAACAGUCGAUGGAGAAUCAAUGGGAGAGGAAGGUUUGUGAAGGAAGGGGCAGUCACGCUGCAAGACUCGAGAAGAACCAUGCACAUGGGAUCCAACGGGUAUUCUCCCAAUCUUGUUUAUCACGACCUUUCCUCGAGUGUGAAAUUUCAUCAAUAAUAGCCACUCAUCAAGGACACGUUGUUGGUCUCUCGAAUGGUCUUGAAAAUCUAGAUUGGAGUAAAAUAUUUCAAGUUGCAGUUGAUAGUGCCACGAGGUAUAGUAAACACAAUGGAUCUGCCAAAGAAAUUGCUUCCACGUAUAGAAAGUCAUAUGGGAAUGAAAAGAUUGUGCUUUGGCUCCUAUUCUUAUCAGCAGCCGUAGGAGAUUAUUUCUAGUCGUUUAAAUGGAAUUUAGGCAUUUGAAAAACAAGUUGUUGAGUUUGUUUUACGAAAGGUUGCAAUAGUUUUUGGAGAUGCUCGUUGAGCAUUGGAGCUAUGUAGACGUGUUGUAGAGCUUGCAAAAUUCAAAGUCCAACAGUUGGAUGCUCCUCAAUUUGCUAUCUCGUUGCAGAUUAUCUCUUCCUUUGUGGAUGUUGGGGAUCCUCCUCUUGUGAGCUCGAGCUCUUGGUUUUUGGCUUCUUGACUGUUGGGUUGAUUGGGUCUUUGUUUUGGGUUGCAUCUACAUGGUUGAUGCUUUUUGUUCUCAACUAUUACUUGUAUCGGGGUUGGUAAUGAUCUUCAUGUAUUCGACUUCUAUAUAUAUUGGGGGAUUUUUUGUA